rnacentral:rRNA from 1 species
AGGGUUUGAUUAUGGCUCAGGAUGAACGCUGGCGGCGUGCUUAACACAUGCAAGUCGAACGGAGAGCGUAUGACAGAGGAUUCGUCCAAUGGAUUACGUUUCUUAGUGGCGGACGGGUGAGUAACGCGUGAGGAACCUGCCUUGGAGUGGGGAAUAACACAGUGAAAAUUGUGCUAAUACCGCAUGAAGCAGUUGGGUCGCAUGGCUCUGACUGCCAAAGAUUUAUCGCUCUGAGAUGGCCUCGCGUCUGAUUAGCUAGUUGGUGGGGCAACGGCCCACCAAGGCGACGAUCAGUAGCCGGACUGAGAGGUUGGCCGGCCACAUUGGGACUGAGACACGGCCCAG